GGGGCUUUAGCUCAUCUGGGAGAGCGUAUGACUGAAGUUCAUAAGGCACCGUGUUCGAUCCACGGAAGCCCCA
rfam:Linderina pennispora strain ATCC 12442 DL89scaffold_102, whole genome shotgun sequence.